AUUGAACGCUGGCGGCAUGCCUUACACAUGCAAGUCGAACGGCAGCACGGGUGCUUGCACCUGGUGGCGAGUGGCGAACGGGUGAGUAAUACAUCGGAACAUGUCCUGUAGUGGGGGAUAGCCCGGCGAAAGCCGGAUUACUACCGCAUACGAUCUACGGAUGAAAGCGGGGGACCUUCGGGCCUCGCGCUAUAGGGUUGGCCGAUGGCUGAUUAGCUAGUUGGUGGGGUAAAGGCCUACCAAGGCGACGAUCAGUAGCUGGUCUGAGAGGACGACCAGCCACACUGGGACUGAGACACGGCCCAGACUCCUACGGGAGGCAGCAGUGGGGAAUUUUGGACAAUGGGCGAAAGCCUGAUCCAGCAAUGCCGCGUGUGUGAAGAAGGCCUUCGGGUUGUAAAGCACUUUUGUCCGGAAAGAAAUCCUUGGCCCUAAUACGGUCGGGGGAUGACGGUACCGGAAGAAUAAGCACCGGCUAACUACGUG
rnacentral:rRNA from 1 species